UCCAACAUCGCAACUCAAAGUGAACAGUCAACGACUCAGUAUCCUGAACUAAAAGACAACUAUUUUUCUGCGUAUUUGAAAGCUCCCCGUUUUGCCAUGUCCUGGUACUACACCCCUCACCCAACUGUAUUUGCUGUGGAAGAGUUUGACGCUUCGGCCGAUGCGGCAGCCUUGCGGAAGGCCAUGAAGGAUUCUCUCUGUGCUCACAGCAACCAGCAGCGGCAAGACAUCUCGGAGGCGUUUACUCGCGACCUAUACCGGGAAUGUUAGACGGUUUUGAAGAAUCAGAUGCUUUAUUACAAUAUGGUAUUUCACCAUGCAGUUCCGAUUUUGUUUGCUGUGGCAGUGACGAAGGAAAGGGCUAUAAAACUACAUCAUUGGAACUAGAAACCAGAAAACUCAGGAUACAUGUAUGGGUAUAUCAGUUAGAAGUAUAAAU